GUAGGGAAUCUUGCGCAAUGGGCGAAAGCCUGACGCAGCAACGCCGCGUGGGGGAUGAAGGCUCUCGGGUUGUAAACCCCUUUCAGUAGGGACGAAUCAAGACGGUACCUACAGAAGAAGCUCCGGCUAACUACGUGCCAGCAGCCGCGGUAACACGUAGGGGGCAAGCGUUGUCCGGAUUUAUUGGGCGUAAAGAGCUCGUAGGUGGCUCGGUAAGUCGGGUGUUAAACCCCCAGGCUCAACCUGGGGACGCCACUCGAUACUGCUGUGGCUAGAGUCCGGUAGGGGAGCGUGGAAUUCCUGGUGUAGCGGUGAAAUGCGCAGAUAUCAGGAGGAACACCAGCGGCGAAGGCGGCGCUCUGGGCCGGUACUGACACUGAGGAGCGAAAGCGUGGGUAGCAAACAGGAUUAGAUACCCCAGUAGUCC
rnacentral:rRNA from 1 species